UACGUAGGGUGCGAGCGUUGUCCGGAAUUAUUGGGCGUAAAGAGCUCGUAGGCGGUUUGUCACGUCUGCUGUGAAAUCCCGAGGCUCAACCUCGGGCCUGCAGUGGGUACGGGCGGACUGGAGUGCGGUAGGGGAGAUUGGAAUUCCCGGUGUAGUGGUGAAAUGCGUAGAUAUCGGGAGGAACACCAGUGGCGAAGGCGACUACCUGGCCUGUUCUUGACGCUGAGGCGCGAAAGCUAGGGGAGCAAACGGG
rnacentral:rRNA from 1 species